rnacentral:rRNA from 1 species
UACGAAGGGGGCUAGCGUUGCUCGGAAUCACUGGGCGUAAAGCGCACGUAGGCCGAUUGUUAAGUCAGGGGUGAAAUCCUGGAGCUCAACUCCAGAACUGCCCUUGAUAACUGACCGGUCUCGAGUCCGGGGAGAGGUGAGUGGAACUGCGAGUGUAGAGGUGAAAUUCGUAGAUAUUCGCAAGAACACCAGUGGCGAAGGCGGCUCACUGGCCCGGUACUGACGCUGAGGUG